UCUCGAUUAGUAUAGUGGUCAGUAUGCCAGCUUGUCAUCUAUCAUCUGGAUGUUCGCUGGAGACCGGGGUUCAAUUCCCCGAUCGAGAG